rfam:Drosophila persimilis strain MSH-3 cont1.022287, whole genome shotgun sequence.
CACUCUAAGUGGUGGAUCACUCGGCUCAUGGGUCGAUGAAGAACGCAGCAGACAGACAGCAGAAUGCAGUCCAUGCUGUUUGGUACUAUGCUAAAUAAGUUGUUUAAAAAUUUUACGAAAUUUUUAAGCAUAUUGUAUAUUAUUGGAUAUGUAUAUAUAUAUAGUGACA